rnacentral:rRNA from 1 species
CGGAGGAUCCGAGCGUUAUCCGGAUUUAUUGGGUUUAAAGGGUGCGUAGGCGGUUUAUUAAGUCGAGGGGUGAAAGACGGCAGCUUAACUGUCGCAGUGCCUUUGAUACUGAUGAACUUGAAUGUACUUGAGGUAGGCGGAAUGUGACAAGUAGCGGUGAAAUGCAUAGAUAUGUCACAGAACACCAAUUGCGAAGGCAGCUUACUAAAGUAUGAUUGACGCUGAGGCACGAAAGCGUGGGGAUUAAACAGGAUUAGAUACCCUGGUAGUCCACGCCCUAAACGAUGAACACUCGAUGUUGGCGAUAUACGGUCAGCGUCUAAGCGAAAGCGUUAAGUGUUCCACCUGGGGAGUGCGCCCGCAAGGGUG